CUUUCCCAGCCAACAUCAACAUUAGCACCAUCGUCGGCCGAUUGAUCAUAGCCACCCAUCUCACACGAGCUGCACCAUUAAUUGCCACCACCACCACCACCAUCAAACCAAAACCAAUCAAUUUGACCUUCUUCAUUUAAGUUGCUGGAUGAACCACUUUCUGGGAGAGAAAAUUCAUCUUAAUUUGUUUACUUUUAAGGUGGGCUAAGAUUAAUUUUGGUAAAUUUCUUGUAUUUCAUAGUAGGAUUGCAGCAAAAACACCAUAAUAAUCAAGUAACAAAAUGACACAUGAGACUUGACUGUGUUUAACUCGUCAAUUUCCUUUUUAAAUGGAGCUUGAGCUUCAUUAAUUAGGUUUUACUUUUAAAUGGACAAGCAAGAUUUUUCAUAAAUAGUGUUGUAUAAAUUUGAACCGGAGGUUGUUGAAGUCCCAAUUUUGGUGUCCAAAUGGCGAAGGAGUGAGGAAAAUGGUGGGUAGGAUUGUUGGUCGUUGGUUUUGAUUUGAUGGUGAUGGUUGGUUUUGAUGGGAUCUGUUCUAGUUAUUUUAAUUUGGUCAAAAUUAGUCAAAAUUCACUUUUUUUGGUCAACUAAUGGUCAAAUGAAUGAAUUUCAUUCUAUUGGACUCCAGGUGCAAAUUUAUGAAAAGUUAGGGAUUUUCGCUAUCACAAAUUGAAAAUUAGGUAAAGACAACAAAAAUUGAAAAGAUUAGAAAUUGUAGGUGCAAUUUUCCCUUACCCUCCCCUGAGUAUGAAGACCAAUUUGUGCAAUGCUAAGUGUUAGGCGCUUAAAAAAUCCAAUGAUCAUUUUGCCAUCAUCCUCAUAGGUGCCCUCCCUCU
rnacentral:lncRNA from 1 species